rnacentral:misc_RNA from 1 species
UCUAGCCACACUUGCGUUCAGGAAAAAAAACUGCAAGCAGAAACCCACCGAUGUGGUAUAUCUUCGUUCAGGUCCCAAUCACAGGAGCCUCAACCAUCCUUGGGCAAAUCCAUGAGCGUGACCAGCUUUGUGAUGGUUUCAGCAAUAGACACCUCGUUCCCAUCUGGUACUGGUACCAGGGCGGCAACAUCUGUAGAUGCACCAGCGCUCACCUGGACAGUUGUGGCGCGCCCAGCACUGCUAGCUUCUACAGCAUCUGCCAAGUUCUUGGCCAAAGAACUCGACGAUUCGCUCGCUUUGUCUGUGUUCAGGAACAGGCAGACAACAGCGCAGUCA